GAUGAACGCUAGCUACAGGCUUAACACAUGCAAGUCGAGGGGUAACAAGAGAAAAGCUUGCUUUUCUUGUUGACGACCGGCGCACGGGUGAGUAACGCGUAUCCAACCUGCCUAUAACUAGGGAAUAACCUUGCGAAAGUAAGACUAAUACCCUAUGAUUUCCUUUGAUGACAUCAGAUUAGGAAUAAAGAUUUAUCGGUUAUAGAUGGGGAUGCGUCUGAUUAGCUUGUUGGCGGGGUAACGGCCCACCAAGGCAACGAUCAGUAGGGGUUCGGAGAGGAAGGUCCCCCACAUUGGAACUGAGACACGGUCCAAACUCCUACGGGAGGCAGCAGUGAGGAAUAUUGGGCAAUGGGCGGAAGCCUGAACCAGCCAAGUAGCGUGCAGGAUGACGGCCCUAUGGGUUGUAAACUGCUUUUAUACAGGAAUAAAGUUAGCCACGUGUGGUUAUUUGUAGGUACUGUAUGAAUAAGGACCGGCUAAUUCCGUGCCAGCCGCCGCCGUAA
rnacentral:rRNA from 1 species